rnacentral:rRNA from 1 species
AGUGAACGCUGGCGGUAGGCCUAACACAUGCAAGUCGAACGGCAGCACAGUAAGAGCUUGCUCUUACGGGUGGCGAGUGGCGGACGGGUGAGGAAUACAUCGGAGUCUACUUUUUCGUGGGGGAUAACGUAGGGAAACUUACGCUAAUACCGCAUACGACCUACGGGUGAAAGCAGGGGAUCUUCGGACCUUGCGCGAUUGAAUGAGCCGAUGUCGGAUUAGCUAGUUGGCGGGGUAAAGGCCCACCGAGGCGACGAUCCGUAGCUGGUCUGAGAGGAUGAUCAGCCACACUGGAACUGAGACACGGUCCAGACUCCUACGGGAGGCAGCAGUGGGGAAUAUUGGACAAUGGGCGCAAGCCUGAUCCAGCCAUACCGCGUGGGUGAAGAAGGCCUUCGGGUUGUAAAGCCCUUUUGUUGGGAAAGAAAAGCAGCAGGUUAAUACCCCGCUGUUCUGACGGUACCCAAAGAAUAAGCACCGGCUAACUUCGUG